CAAGGUUCAGGUUGAAGGUCUUGUUUGACACCUGAGGCGACGUGACCAGUGGAAGACGGGAGCCUUCAAAUGUCUGCUGAACACAACCACAUGGAGAACAUCAUCUGAAUGCUGAGACAUCGACGAAGAGGGCCAAGCCACCAUGUUCGCGGCCAAGCAGGAGAGUGAGACGAAACACCAUGGGGCCAUUGGGGUGAUAACAUAGAUUCUGGAAGCCAGGAAAGAAUCUUCUGGAAGGAAGCCGUCAAAUAUAACUUUCUGCUUUGGAUCUCCAACACCUUCCUGAAAGAAUCAGACCUAUGAGAUCAUAUGGAGAAGCUCUGGAGAGAUGUAACUUUGGCACCAAGGUGGUUAUUUGUCCCUGUGUGGAGCAAGAGGGAAAGGAAAAGAGACGGAGAAAAAGGCCGACGGAGAGAGAAAAAAAGAGGAAGCGACAGAAUCCAGUUCAUCUGCAGCGAAAUGCCGUCAGCACUGGUACAGCGGCCUGCCACAUGAUGCGUGUUUCCACUGCAGUCUCAUGCCAGAGAAGACACACACACACACACACACACACACACACACACACACAGCACACACACGCACACACACCUGAAAACAUAAGAAAGCUCCAUCACAUAAAUAAAUCAACCUGUUCCAUUUAUUUUUGUUUUUUCC
rnacentral:lncRNA from 1 species